UACGAGGAUAUCUUCCUGUAAAUCUUCUUCAUUUAUAAAUUAGAUGCACCAUGUAUUCAAGCAUGGCAUCAGUUAAGCUGUCAUGCACUGAGAACUUUGCUGACCCAGUCCUGAUACAAGUGUCCAAACAGGAGAGCAGGGGGAAGCAGACAACCAGACCACAUCGAUCCGGGCUGCAGGAUGUGUUUAGUGAAAAAUCUAUAGAGCUCAGCUUAGGGUGUCAGCUGUCAGUCUGCAGAGCAUCUGUCAGAGGAGUAUUUGCUUCACUGCUGCUGAAUAACCCACUAUGCCAGUAUGAGACUGUAAUGUUGACUGGAAAGAUGGACAGUACCUCAAAGGUCAAGAGCUGUAGACUGAAUUUCAGCUAAUGAUUUCUCAAGGAUAAUUUGUGGAAAGAUUUGAAGAGAACAUGCUGGAAGAUUGAAAAGAGGAAUUUUAAUGGUACCUUAUAAAUUCUUCUUCAUCCAAAACUGGCUCCAGGUGAACUUAAGAUGAAGCUUUCCACACAUUUCCCAACAUAAUGUCUUGCUUCCUUCAUGUUAUGCCUGAUCUUAGAAAUGUUCCUUUUCUUUUCCGUGUUCUUACCAAAAAGCUUAUAACACAUUAUUCUGUAAACAAAUACACCAAUUUUUUGGCGAUUAUGUUUCCC
rnacentral:lncRNA from 1 species